UUGGAGGGCAAGUCUGGUGCCAGCAGCCGCGGUAAUUCCAGCUCCAAUAGCGUAUAUUAAAGUUGUUGCAGUUAAAAAGCUCGUAGUUGAAUUUCGGGGUUGGCAGGUUGGUCGUGCCAAUGGUAUGCACUGGCCUUGCUGAUUCCUCCCUCUUGAUGAGCCGUAAUGCCAUUAAUUUGGUGUUGCGGGGAAUCAGGACUGUUACUUUGAAAAAAUUAGAGUGUUUAAAGCAGGCAAGCGCUUGAAUACAUUAGCAUGGAAUAAUGAAAUAGGACGUUUGAUCCUAUUUUGUUGGUUUCUAGGAUUGACGUAAUGAUUAAUAGGGAUAGUUGGGGGCAUUAGUAUUCAAUUGUCAGAGGUGAAAUUCUUGGAUUUAUUGAAGACUAACUACUGCGAAAGCAUUUGCCAAGGAUGUUUUCAUUAAUCAAGAACGAAAGUUAGGGGAUCGAAGACGAUCAGAUACCGUCGUAGUCUUAACCAUAAACUAUGCCGACUAGGGAUCGGAUGAUGUUAAUUUUUUAAUGACUCAUUCGGCACCUUACGGGAAAC
rnacentral:rRNA from 1 species